CCUACGGGAGGCUGCAGUGAGGAAUAUUGGUCAAUGGGCGCUAGCCUGAACCAGCCAAGUAGCGUGAAGGAUGACUGCCCUAUGGGUUGUAAACUUCUUUUAUAUGGGAAUAAAGUGCAGUAUGUAUACUGCUUUGCAUGUACCUUAUGAAUAAGGAUCGGCUAAAUCCGUGCCAGCAGCCGCGGUAAUACGGAGGAUCCGAGCGUUAUCCGGAUUUAUUGGGGUUAAAGGGAGCGUAGGCGGGUUGUUAAGUCAGUUGUGAAAGUUUGCGGCUCAACCGUAAAAUUGCAGUUGAUACUGGCAGCCUUGAGUACAGUAGAGGUAGGCGGAAUUCGUGGUGUAGCGGUGAAAUGCUUAGAUAUCACGAAGAACUCCGAUUGCGAAGGCAGCCUGCUGGACUGUAACUGACGCUGAUGCUCGAAAGUGUGGGUAUCAAACAGGAUUAGAUACCCUGGUAGUC
rnacentral:rRNA from 1 species